ACUCAUUUUUAGUCUUUUGACUAAAAUCAAGUGUAAUAUCUGUUUUACCAGUUCAAUGUCUGGAACAAUAUGUUCAUUGUGACAUUAAAUUCAUUUAUUGUGAAUAUUU
rnacentral:snRNA from 1 species